rnacentral:lncRNA from 1 species
UAGUAAAGAUACUACACUUGACAGUUAGGUCUCCAGACAGAGAUGAGAUGGUAUUGACGAUACCUGAUGAUGGUGUGCCGAACCCGAAAGGUCCUUGGUUCACCAUAAAGGAAGGAUCUAAGUACACCCUUGUCUUCAACUUUCGUGUUACCAACAAUAUUGUUUCUGGACUUCGCUAUAACAAUACCGUUUGGAAAACCGGUGUCAAGGGUAAUUUUAAAUUUUUGUGUAAGAUAUAUUCUCCAAGAAAUUAUCUAUUAAUAGUUGGUGUUUUUCUUGUUGGGGCAGUGGAUAGUACGAAAGCAAUGCUUGGGACAUUUAGUCCCCAGGCUGAGCCUUACCAACAUGUGAUGCCUGAAGAAACCACGCCGUCUGGUAUAUUUGCUAGAGGAUCCUAUUCCGCAAGGACAAAGGUAUAUCGUUUCAUAUUUGAGCAGGCAGUUAAAUUUUUAUAGGUUUUUGUCAACGUAAUAAAAUUUAAUUAUUAUCUUUUACUAACGUUGAUGAGUAUCGAUCAUGAGGCCCUCUUCAAAUACAACUAUGUUUUGCUUUGUUAGUGAAUAAGUUUUUAAGUUACUUAAUUAGUUUAUUUUACAUUUCAGUUCAUUGAUGAUGAGAAAGACAAGGUCUUUAUAUUUUUUUAACUUACUGUUAUGAGAAGAUCUAAACUAUACAAGGUUAUAUAUAAUGGUGGGAUUAGCUUGGUUAUAUGUUAUUAAUCUUACUAUUAUAUUAAUCGAACUUUUAAAAAUAAUUUAUAUUUCCGUCGAAAAUUUUGAUAGGAUGAUGAAAGCUUGAGAAGAUGGAAGGAGCAACUUAUCGGCGUGGUGGAUCUUGAAGACGUUGGAGGUAAACCAAAACCACAAUCUCGUUUACAUCUUAUGAUUUAAUUAGACUGUAAUCUUUAGAAGGAUAUCAUGUACGGGAGGGACGAUUCAUGCAUGUUAGUUAAAUCAAAUGACAUUUUUACUUACCCUAGUCUCUCGGUUAAUAUUAAUACGGGCAUAAAGUCCAUAACUAUUGAAUUUAAGCUGUCCUAAUGCUAUAUGCUAAAUGAUGUUUUGGAAGAAAAACACUUAAAUUGUUAUAUCCAACACACUUACGAUCUACGAAAUGCAGAGACAUCGGAUCCUGUAGUAAAGAUACUACACUUGACAGUUAGGUCUCCAGACAGAGAUGAGAUGGUAUUGACGAUACCUGAUGAUGGUGUGCCGAACCCGAAAGGUCCUUGGUUCACCAUAAAGGAAGGAUCUAAGUACACCCUUGUCUUCAACUUUCGUGUUACCAACAAUAUUGUUUCUGGACUUCGCUAUAACAAUACCGUUUGGAAAAC